rnacentral:rRNA from 1 species
UACGUAGGCAGCGAGCGUUGUUCGGAUUUACUGGGCGUAAAGAGUGUGUAGGCGGUGCUCUAAGUUCGGUGUGAAAUCUCCCGGCUUAACUGGGAGGGUGCGCCGGAAACUGGAGUGCUCGAGCGUGGGAGAGGAAAGCGGAAUUCCUGGUGUAGCGGUGAAAUGCGUAGAUAUCAGGAGGAACACCUGCGGUGUAGACGGCUUUCUGGACCAUUGCUGACGCUGAGACACGAAAGCGUGGGUAGCAAACAGG